rnacentral:rRNA from 1 species
GAGUAUUAGUAUUAAAAAAUUAAAGUUUAUUCUAGUUUUUAAUUUGUUAUUGAGGUAAAAAUUGUGCCAGCAUCCGCGGUUAGACUGAUAUAAUAUAUGAAGGAAAAGUUAGAGUUGUAGUUAAAAAUAGUUUAAUUUAUUAUAAAAAUUUAAUAAAAUAUAAGGUGAAAUUUUAAUUUUUUUUAGGGGUUUUAUUAUUUAAUUAGUUGUUUUGAAACUAUGGAAAUUAGAAUAUAAAAUAGGAUUAGAUACCCUAGUAUAUCUUUUUUUAAAUUGUAUAGUCUUAAUUAGUAUUUGAUAUAUCUUGAAAAUUAAAGAAUUUGGCGGUAUUUUAGUCUAAUUAGAGGAACCUGUUUCAUAAACGAUAAACCGCGAAUUAUUUUACUUGUUUUUGUUUUUCAGUUUGUAUACCUUCAUUAUUAAAUAACUUUUAAAGGAGUUUGUUAGAAUAAAUUAUAUUUAAUAUAUUAGAUCAAGGUGCAGCUUAUAGACAAGUGAGAAUGGGUUACAUUAGUUUAAAAUUAUACGGAUUAUAAUAGUAAGAUUUUUAUUUAAAGGAGGAUUUAAUAGUAAUUAAAUAAUUAAUAUGUUUUAUUGAUACGAGCUCUAAAAUGUGUACACAUCGCCCGUCGCUCUCAUAGGUUUGAAAUGAGAUAAGUCGUAACAUAGUAGUUGUACUGGAAAGUGCCUCUAGAGAU